AGCUACAGGCUUAACACAUGCAAGUCGAGGGGAAACGACAUCGAAAGCUUGCUUUUGAUGGGCGUCGACCGGCGCACGGGUGAGUAACGCGUAUCCAACCUGCCCACCACUUGGGGAUAACCUUGCGAAAGUAAGACUAAUACCCAAUGAUAUCUCUAGAAGACAUCUGUAAGAGAUUAAAGAUUUAUCGGUGAUGGAUGGGGAUGCGUCUGAUUAGCUUGUUGGCGGGGUAACGGCCCACCAAGGCGACGAUCAGUAGGGGUUCUGAGAGGAAGGUCCCCCACAUUGGAACUGAGACACGGUCCAAACUCCUACGGGAGGCAGCAGUGAGGAAUAUUGGUCAAUGGGCGAGAGCCUGAACCAGCCAAGUAGCGUGCAGGAUGACGGCCCUAUGGGUUGUAAACUGCUUUUAUAAGGGAAUAAAGUGGGUCUCGUGAGACUUUUUGCAUGUACCUUAUGAAUAAGGACCGGCUAAUUCCGUGCCAGCAGCCGCGGUAAUACGGAAGGUCCGGGCGUUAUCCGGAUUUAUUGGGUUUAAAGGGAGCGUAGGCGGGAUAUUAAGUCAGUCGUCAAAGCCUGUGGCUCAACCACAGCCCGCGAUUGAUACUGGUAACCUUGAGUGCGGAUGAGGUGGAUGGAAUUCGUGGUGUAGCGGUGAAAUGCUUAGAUAUCACGAAGAACUCCGAUUG
rnacentral:rRNA from 1 species